CCUACGGGAGGCUGCAGUGGGGAAUAUUGCACAAUGGGGGAAACCCUGAUGCAGCGACGCCGCGUGAGUGAAGAAGUCUUUCGGGAUGUAAAGCACUAUCAGCAGGGAAGAAAAUGACGGUACCUGUUUAAGAAGCCACGGCUAACUACGUGCCAGCAGCCGCGGUAUUACGUAGGGGGCAAGCGUGAUCCGGUUUUACUGGUUGUAACGGGAGCGUAGACGGCAGCACAAGUCUGGAGUGAAAUGCCGGGGCUUAACCCCGGAACUGCUUUGGAUACUGUGCAGCUAGAGUGCAGGAGAGGGAAGUAGAAUUCCUAGUGUAGCGGUGAAAUGCGUAGAUAUUAGGAGGAAUACCAGUGGCGAAGGCGGCCUACUGGACGGUAACUGACGUUGAGGCUCGAAAGCGUGGGGAGCAAACAGGAUUAGAUACCCUUGUAGUC
rnacentral:rRNA from 1 species